rnacentral:siRNA from 1 species
CCAGGAUCCGAACAGAGUUAAACC